GGAGUGGAAGAGAUGUUUCUAAUUGACAAUAGAUUAACUUGAUUGAAUAGAUUAACUUGAUUGAAACUCCUCAACAUUCACCACAUAAAAUACAGGGAAAAAAGCCCCAACCUGACCCGCUGCACAAGCUCAUCCCAUCUGCCGCAGAGGGAGAGCCAUGUUAUCUAGUGCCACGCUGAACGGACAUCAACUUUCGAAGUGCAGUCCAGCUGAAUAAAUAGCACGGAAAGUCAAUAGCCAAAUCCUUUCGGCAGCAGCAGUGCUCUGGGAACCCGGCUGGAAUUUGAAUAUUUGCAUUGAUUUAUGAUUUUCCUUUGACGUUACCAGCUGGGAGCAAGCGCCGCAGAGGAGGUACACACACGGCUCCGCAGGACCAGGAGCGCCGAGUCAAGGAUUACCUUUUAAAGGAUUAUCUUUUAUAAAAAGAGAAGAAAAAAUUUGGUACCCUGCAAACAACUAACUCGAAUCAAAAGAAAUAGAUUAAUCCAAUGGGAUUACCAGAGCUGGACAAGAUUCUGAAGUCACAGGAUACUUGGAGUGGGAGGAAAGAGGAAAACUGAACUGCUACCAAGUUACCAAGGCAAAGAACAGUAAAAAAACAAAUAAGCAUAAAAGGGGCUCCAAAGAAAUGUGAGCAUCCUUGCCAAGAAGCAGGAGUAUUUGAAAUUUCGUGGAAAGAAAAUGAACGCUGAAGAAGUUCACCUCAAACGAAACUGAAAAUCUUUCUGUGCUGCAAGCCAACAGUCAGAGAAAAUGAAAAGGGAGGUAUGCAUGGCUUGCUUAAACAGACACUUGCAGACACAGAAUUAGUUUUUCUGCUGUCAGUUUUGUGGAAUUUAGAAAACAGAAAAGAUGUGAACACCAGUUUUCUGCGAUUCUCUGGGGAUAACAUGCUUUUAGCUUUGUUCACAACAGAGCUGAAUAACUGCUUACUUUUUGUUAGCAUAUACUCAUCUGACAACAUUUUAGAAACGUAAAUUCUUCUGGGAGUAUGUCUUUGUCAAGUAUUAAUGGCACUAGUAACUUAAAUUGACAUCUAUGUCAUACAGCCAUGCAUC